rnacentral:rRNA from 1 species
GAUGAACGCUGGCGGCGUGCUUAACACAUGCAAGUCGAACGGUGAAGCAGGAGCUUGCUCUUGUGGAUCAGUGGCGAACGGGUGAGUAACACGUGAGCAACCUGCCCCUGACUCUGGGAUAAGCGCUGGAAACGGCGUCUAAUACUGGAUAUGUGACGUGACCGCAUGGUCUGCGUUUGGAAAGAUUUUUCGGUUGGGGAUGGGCUCGCGGCCUAUCAGCUUGUUGGUGAGGUAAUGGCUCACCAAGGCGUCGACGGGUAGCCGGCCUGAGAGGGUGACCGGCCACACUGGGACUGAGACACGGCCCAGACUCCAACGGGAGGCAGCAGUGGGGAAUAUUGCACAAUGGGCGAAAGCCUGAUGCAGCAACGCCGCGUGAGGGAUGACGGCCUUCGGGUUGUAAACCUCUUUUAGCAGGGAAGAAGCGAAAGUGACGGUACCUGCAGAAAAAGCGCCGGCUAACUACGUGCCAGCAGCCGCCGUAACAC